UACGGAGGGGGCUAGCGUUGUUCGGAAUUACUGGGCGUAAAGCGCACGUAGGCGGCUUUGCAAGUUAGAGGUGAAAGCCCGGGGCUCAACUCCGGAAUUGCCUUUAAAACUGCAUCGCUAGAAUUGUGGAGAGGUAAGUGGAAUCCCGAGUGUAGAGGUGAAAUUCGUAGAUAUUCGGAAGAACACCAGUGGCGAAGGCGACUUACUGGACACAUAUUGACGCUGAGGUGCGAAAGCGUGGGGAGCAAACAGG
rnacentral:rRNA from 1 species